UGGCGAAAGAGCCGCAGCUCCGCGCCCACCAGCUCUUCUUUGUCUGAGAGCAUGGACACAUCAAACAAAUACUUCUGUCUCCGGAGAGGAGUGUGCGAGAGAUCGUCUGCGAGAUAAAAAAUAAUUACAUCUGCCCUUCCCAGCAACACUCUGUCUGCCUCCACCAACCCACAGGAGCUAGGCCCAUGUCAUUGUCCACCUUGCUCCCCUCAAUGCCUAGGGCGGUUCCUGACCUGGAGCACACGCCGGUCAGAUGAGAAAACCAAGGAUUGGAGAAAUUAAGCUCCAUCACCUACUUCAAGGGGCCUCACCUGUGAGCAUGUGGCCAUCCCAGCUCACAGCCUAAAGCUGUGCACAGUUUCACAGGUGCACACAUCAGUGGUGUGAUCUACCUUCGGGGGAACUGAAUGGAUGAAGAAGCUGUCCAGACCCUGCAACCACAAAUUCUCUUGGUUCUGGGUCUCCAGAACCUCUAACUCCUAAACAGAAGGUCCAAGAAGGUGGCUCCUCUAUGCAGCUCCCCUGCAGACCACAUUCCCUACCUGUCUAAACCUGCAUCACAGAAAUAGCUCAGAGGAGGCAUCCAACCUGGGGAGUGAAUACAACACCAUGCACUGUUACCCUGAAGACACUUUGCCUGCUGCCUGCUGACCUGGCAUCACAGAGCCUGGCUCAGCUGCCAUGAGCCAUCUAUGGGCAAAAAGCCAGCCCUUCAUGCUCCCUUCCACAAGUCUCCUCUCCCAUUAAGUCUUGUAUAAAUGAAGACUGGUGUCAUCAAAUGAUCCUCUCUCCCACCCCUUUGACUAAAAAAACAUGCACUUGUCACUUCAAAAUCUGUGGCACUUUCCCACAUCCUGGAAGUGAAUCCUAUGCUUUGGGCCCUUAAAUUGAAAUUGACCAGAAAUAUAUGGUGGGAGUUUUUUAUUUCCCUUUUACUUUGCAUCAACCUGGUUUGUUACAGCUUAUUCACACAUCUGUUAACAGUGUUUGCUGAAUAUUAGACAUAUAAACAUUUCCAGUUACAA